UCUGGCUCAGAUUGAACGCUGGCGGCAGGCCUAACACAUGCAAGUCGAACGGUAGCACAGAGAGCUUGCUCUCGGGUGACGAGUGGCGGACGGGUGAGUAAUGUCUGGGAAACUGCCCGAUGGAGGGGGAUAACUACUGGAAACGGUAGCUAAUACCGCAUAACGUCUUCGGACCAAAGUGGGGGACCUUCGGGCCUCACACCAUCGGAUGUGCCCAGAUGGGAUUAGCUAGUAGGUGGGGUAAUGGCUCACCUAGGCGACGAUCCCUAGCUGGUCUGAGAGGAUGACCAGCCACACUGGAACUGAGACACGGUCCAGACUCCUACGGGAGGCAGCAGUGGGGAAUAUUGCACAAUGGGCGCAAGCAAUGAUGCAGCCAUGCCGCGUGUAUGAAGAAGGCCUUCGGUUGGGUAAAAGCUUUCAGCGGGGAGGAAGGCG
rnacentral:rRNA from 1 species